rnacentral:rRNA from 1 species
GCUCCAGACUCCUACGGGAGGCAGCAGUGGGGAAUAUUGCACAAUGGGGGAAACCCUGAUGCAGCGACGCCGCGUGAGCGAUGAAGUAUUUCGGUAUGUAAAGCUCUAUCAGCAGGGAAGAAAAUGACGGUACCUGAAGAAGAAGCCCCGGCUAACUACGUGCCAGCAGCCGCGGUAAUACGUAGGGGGCAAGCGUUAUCCGGAUUUACUGGGUGUAAAGGGGGCGCAGACGGCGAUGCAAGCCAGGAGUGAAAGCCCGCGGCCCAACUGCGGGACUGCUUUGGAAACUGCCCGGCUAGAGUGCGGGAGAGGUAAGCGGAAUUCCUAGUGUAGCGGUGAAAUGCGUAGAUAUUAGGAGGAACACCAGUGGCGAAGGCGGCUUACUGGACAGUAACUGACGUUGAGGCUCGAAAGCGUGGGGAGCGAACAGGAUUAGAUACCCCGGUAA